AUGUGGUACCACCGCUGGCUGCAGGCGGCCGUGCAGCUGGUGGAGAGCUGAGGGGGCACCCAGACACCCGGGGGGUCCCUGACCCUCCUCUGCAAGGCCUCCGGCUUCGACUUCAGCAGCUACGAAAUGUCCUGGGUGCGACAGGCGCCCGAGUACAUCGCAGAAAUUGGAAGCGGUGAUGGUAGCACAUCCUACGCCCCGGCGGUGGAAGGGCGCUUCACCCUCUCCCGGGACAACUCCCGGAGCACGGUCACGCUGCAGAUGAACAGCCUGAAGGUCGAAGACACGGCCACCUACUACUGCGCCAAAGGUGCUGGUGCUGGCCCCGAUCGGUGCCACAGGCAGCCAGAACCUUCGCAAAAUCCUUGCGCCGAGCCCAGACCCCUGCCCUGA